rnacentral:lncRNA from 1 species
GGCUCAGUCUUGCCAUCUCACAUACUCGGGUAGCUAUCCGCCCGGCUCAGCUUUCCCGAUCACACAAUAUCCAUACAAAAGUCAUCAAUCCUUAAUCACAAUCAUUUCACUUCAUAACACAUCACAAUCAAUUCACUUCACAACACAUCACAAUCAAUUCACUUUAUAACAAGCCAAAAACAUAACUAAUAUCAACUCAGUCAACCAAGAAAUUAUCAAGUAAUCAAACA